GCCUGGGGGCGGGGGUGCGGCCGCCGGGAAGGAAGUCGGCUGAGGGGCGGGGGACAAAAGGCCGGGCGGCUGGCUGGGGGUCGCUGGGAGGGGGCGGGCGUGUGCGGCCGGGGCCGGGCUGCGCCGAGGACAAACAGCUGGCGAGUGUCAGGGGCUGGCCGCCUCCCCGCAGCCCGCACGCACCUAGCAGCGCCCGGGACGCGCAUUUUUUUUCUUCCCCUCCUCUCGCCACGAGUUCACCUGGGACUUUUGGCAAGAACUGAGCCCUGGGAGCCGCGCUCCAACCUUGUCAUUCGCUAUGGGGGUGGGGGUGGGGGCUGGGGGUGUGUAGGUGGCGGUGCCGGGGGAAGUGAACUUAUUUUGUCCCUUUGCACAAAGACGGGACCCAGCGGCCGCCUCGGAGAGCGAGGAGGUGACCACCGCACCUCGGACACGUCUGGAUCCGAUGCAUUGUGUGUACCAGGCAGCACCCGGGGCCCAGGGCGAUAACCAUUUCAUAGAGAAUGCACCGCCCCGAAGUGUCUUAUUGCGGUGUGAUGAAAUGGAAAUUUAAAUAAAAGGUCGAACACGUGCGUUCGCUGGGAAGUAUUGACAUGGGUGUUACAUCACCGGCAGCCAAUCAGAUAACUCCGGUCAUGUUUAUACUUCUACAACCACCUUAUACGAGUGGAAGAUCAAAUCAGAAACGCUACUCAAGAGGACAGCAACCAUACACAUGCCUCAGGAUACCUUGUACAAGGGAACUUUGCAUGACAGAAGGGGAUCUCCUGUUCUAUAAAUGGGCUUUUCAUGAAUUCCCUCACCCCUUCCAGUGUUCUACUAGCAAACAGUGACCUAUUCUCCCCUGUACUAUUAACUGUUGGGGCUCUACCAUCUGCGUGGGGAUUCCCCCUUAUAUUUAACCAGGGGAACCCCUCAAGAUUGGGACAUCCCCAACCAAUUUGUUCACUAAUUUCACUUUAUGUAAAACUACUGUAGGUUACUUUAAUCCUGCCUCAUUAUAACUGGUAAUGCCAAGCUUCUCAGUUGAACUUUGAUGAUUGUUUAACUACCCUUUAUUGCUUUGGUAGAGGCACUUUGCUUCUUUAGGUUCUGGAGAUAAUAGCCGGUGCUUCUGUCUAUGAGAUUCAGAUGAGUCAGCCAUCAGAAUGAAGUACCUGAGAACAGAUUAUGAAUUGCUCACUCACACUCCUCUACCUCAGUCCCAGCCUGAUAUAGGUGCUUAGUGAAUGCCUGUUAAAUAAUUGUCUUCCAUUGUAAUUUAUUUUGGGGGAGUCGGGCAGUAGCACAGCGGGUUAAGCACACGUGGCUCAAAGCGCAAGGACCAGCGUAAGGAUCCCGGUUCAAGCCCCCAGCUCCCCACCUGCAGGGGAGUCACUUCACAGAUGGUGAAGCAGGAGAAAAAUGAUACUGAAGCACUGGGGCUUCCUGCGGUACCAGGACUCAAGCAUGGGUACAUGACAAGGCACAAGUCCUACCCCAUAAGCUGUCUAGCUCCUAAAUAAAUAUAUUUUUUUAAA